rnacentral:rRNA from 1 species
GACGAACGCUGGCGGCGUGCCUAAUACAUGCAAGUAGAACGCUGAAGAGAGGAGCUUGCUCUUCUUGGAUGAGUUGCGAACGGGUGAGUAACGCGUAGGUAACCUGCCUGGUAGCGGGGGAUGACUAUUGGAAACGAUAGCUAAUACCGCAUAAAAUGGAUUAUCGCAUGAUAAUCCAUUGAAAGGUGCAAAUGCAUCACUACCAGAUGGACCUGCGUUGUAUUAGCUAGUUGGUGGGGUAACGGCUCACCAAGGCGACGAUACAUAGCCGACCUGAGAGGGUGAUCGGCCACACUGGGACUGAGACACGGCCCAGACUCCUACGGGAGGCAGCAGUAGGGAAUCUUCGGCAAUGGACGGAAGUCUGACCGAGCAACGCCGCGUGAGUGAAGAAGGUUUUCGGAUCGUAAAGCUCUGUUGUAAGAGAAGAACGAGUGUGAGAGUGGAAAGUUCACACUGUGACGGUAUCUUACCAGAAAAGGACGGCUAACUACGUG